rnacentral:misc_RNA from 1 species
CGAUUCCUGCCUAGGCAGACAGUACCCGCGAACUGGUUAUAAACAACGCGUCGCGGCCGUCGUCGGGCGAGAGCCCCGCAACGGCCCGGCGCAACCGCCGCGUGAGCGCGGCAUUCCCGUCGUCCCCUGCGGGAUCGGCGGUGCGUCGUGCUUUCCGCGGCACACAAACGAACCCCGGCGUGGAUAACGCCAAGGAAAACAAAAGGGAAGUCGCGUCCCCGCGCAACGCGGGGCUCGCGACUCCUGUCGUACUUACAAUAACGACUCUCGGCAACGGAUAUCUCGGCUCUCGCAUCGAUGAAGAACGUAGCGAAAUGCGAUACUUGGUGUGAAUUGCAGAAUCCCGUGAACCAUCGAGUCUUUGAACGCAAGUUGCGCCCCAAGCCGUCAGGCCGAGGGCACGCCUGCCUGGGCGUCACGCAACGUCGCCCCCUCCGCCCCCGUCUUCUAAGGGACUCGGGGGCGCGCGAGGGCGGAUACUGGCCUCCCGUGCGUGCAUUGCUCGCGGCUGGCCUAAAAACGAGUCCUCGGCGUCGAACGCUCGGGCGAGCGGUGGUCUUUAUCGUCCUCGUCACGUGCCGUGCGCUUUCGACGUCGGAAAGGGAUCUCUCGGACCCCGAACGCGCGUCUCGGAAAAUNGUUUNGACCC